AGCACUAAGUCACUUUGUCUUUAUGGCAAAUGUGAGAUGCAGUGUAUGGAAUGUCAAAUUUCUAGUAUGAGAAAUUAACGAUUUAAGUCCUUCUUAAAUGAGGCCAUUUACCCAAAGAGGGUGCCAGGCCCGUAUAACGUUAAUGAUUACUAGAUGGCAUUUCCAAAGAGUCGUGUUGCUUGAUAGUGCAGCACUAAGUGGGUGGUAAACUCCAUCUAAAACUAAAUAUAACCAUGAGACCGAUAGUAAACAAGUACCGUGAGGGAAAGUUGAAAAGAACUCUGAAUAGAGAGUUAAAUAGUACGUGAAACUGCUUAGAGGUUAAGCCCGAUGAACCUGAAUAUCCGUUAUGGAAAAUUCAUCAUUAUGAUUUUAAUAUUAAUAAUAUUAUAAUAAUGGUGUGCAUUUUUUCUAUAAAGGACAUUGUAAUCUAUUAACAUAAAUAUAUAUUUAUCAUAAGAUCAUUUGCGUAAGUUUAUUCAAAUUAUUUUGCUUGCAAUUUAAUAUCGAAUAAAUGCUUUUGAUUUGAUAAAGUGUUGAUAGAUUUAUUAUAUAUAGUGCUUAAAUAUUUUAUAUUUUAUAAUAGCAUAUUAAUCAUUGAUUUUUAUGUUUAUUAUAUGCACUUAUAUGAUUAACAAUGCGAAAGAUUCAGGAUACCUUCGGGACCCGUCUUGAAACACGGACCAAGGAGUCUAACAUAUUUGCAAGUUAUUGGGAAUAAAAACCUAAUAGCGAAAUUAACAUAACUUUUAAUAAUGGGAUUAGUUUUUGGCCUAUUUUAAUAGACUAUUAAUUCAAUCCCGGGGCGUUCUAUACAGUUAUGUAUAAUAAUAUUUAUAUUAUUUAUACCUCUAACUAGAGCGUACCUUGAGCAUAUAUGCUGUGACCCGAAAGAUGGUGAACUAUACUUGAUCAGGUUGAAGUCAGGGGAAACCCUG
rnacentral:rRNA from 1 species